rnacentral:rRNA from 1 species
AANAAGAUCUGACGNGUACCAGGGGAAUCAGCAUCGGCUAACUUCGUGCCAGCAGCCGCGGUAAUACGAGGGAUGCAAGCGUUAUCCGGAAUUAUUGGGCGUAAAGCGUCCGCAGGUGGCUCUGUAAGUCUGUCGUUAAAGAAUGGGGCUCAACCCCAUACAGGCGAUGGAAACUACAAGGCUAGAGUUUGGUAGGGGUCACGGGAAUUCUUAGUGUAGCGGUGAAAUGCGUAGAUAUUAAGAAGAACACCAGCGGCGAAAGCGCGUGACUGGGCCAGUACUGACACUCAUGGACGAAAGCUAGGGGAGCGAAAGGGAUUAGAUACCCCUGUAGUCCUAGCCGUAAACGAUGAUAACUAGGUGUUGCCCGUAUCGACCCGGGCAGUGCCGUAGCCAACGCGUUAAGUUAUCCGCCU